rnacentral:rRNA from 1 species
GACGAACGCUGGCGGCGUGCCUAAUACAUGCAAGUAGAACGCUGAAGGAGGAGCUUGCUUCUCCGGAUGAGUUGCGAACGGGUGAGUAGCGCGUAGGUAACCUGCCUGGUAGCGGGGGAUAACUAUUGGAAACGAUAGCUAAUACCGCAUAACAGUAGAUGUUGCAUGACAUUUGCUUAAAAGGUGCAAUUGCAUCACUACCAGAUGGACCUGCGUUGUAUUAGCUAGUUGGUGAGGUAACGGCUCACCAAGGCGACGAUACAUAGCCGACCUGAGAGGGUGAUCGGCCACACUGGGACUGAGACGCGGCCCAGACUCCUACGGGAGGCAGCAGUAGGGAAUCUUCGGCAAUGGACGGAAGUCUGACCGAGCAACGCCGCGUGAGUGAAGAAGGUUUUCGGAUCGUAAAGCUCUGUUGUAAGAGAAGAACGAGUGUGAGAGUGGAAAGUUCACACUGUGACGGUAUCUUACCAGAAAGGGACGGCUAACUACGUG